UACGGAGGGAGCUAGCGUUGUUCGGAAUUACUGGGCGUAAAGCGCGCGUAGGCGGCUUUGUAAGUUAGAGGUGAAAGCCCGGAGCUCAACUCCGGAACUGCCUUUAAAACUGCAUCGCUUGAAUCCAGGAGAGGUGAGUGGAAUUCCGAGUGUAGAGGUGAAAUUCGUAGAUAUUCGGAAGAACACCAGUGGCGAAGGCGGCUCACUGGACUGGUAUUGACGCUGAGGUGCGAAAGCGUGGGGAGCAAACAA
rnacentral:rRNA from 1 species